UUACUUUUAGUGAGUAGUCAUUUUGUAGUAGUGUCGUGAACGGGUGUGUUUUAAAAUAUAAACUUAGCGCUGCGUAUAACACUGAUGGUAAAAAAACAACACCUAUAAAAAAUGAGAAAAAGUUAAAUAUUAUAAAGUUUAGUGCAAAAAUUCUAUGUAAAAUAUAUAGAAAAUUGAAAAUUUCGAGAAAAACAAACAAAAAUAAUCAAAAUAGUACUACAACGUAAAGAAAAACAACACCCCCUCUUGGUAGUAUUUUCUCUCACUUAAACACAAUAUAAAAUUCUCAAAUCACUUUUUCGCUCUCUCGAAUUGAAAACCAGAAAAGAGAGUAGUAAAAAUAAUAAUAAAAUAAAUAUAUAAAGGAAAUUUGUCUUCAAUUGUCAUCAGGUGCAUUUCCAGUGAACGAGUAAUUAAUUUGUUGUUUUCAAAUGGUAAUAAAUCUUUUUGUUUACUU
rnacentral:lncRNA from 1 species